rnacentral:lncRNA from 10 species
CAGUGAGUGGUGACAGCGCCACUGCACUCCAGUGUGAGCAAGAGUGAGACACUGUCUCAAAACAAAACAAAAAGCCAGGCGCGGUGGCUCACGCCUGUAAUCCCAGCACUUUGGGAGGCCGAGGCAGGUGGAUCAUGAGGUCAGAAGUUCAAGACCAGCCUGACCAACGGGGUGAAACCCCAUCUCUACUAAAAAUACAAAAAUUAGGCCGGGCACAGUGGCUCACACCUGUAAUCCCCAUACUUUGGAAGUCUGAGGCGGGCAGAUCGCCUCAGGUCAGGAGUUCGAGACCAGCCUGGCCAACAUGGUGAAACUGUCUCUACUAAAAAUACAAAAAUUAACUGAGUGUGGUGGCUUUCAUGCGCGUCCGUGUGAAGAGACCACCAAACAGGCUUUGUGUGAGCAAUAAAGCUGUUUAUUUCACCUGGGUGCAGGUGGGCUGAGUCCGAAAAGAGUCAGCGAAGGGAGAUAGGGGUGGGGCUGUUUUAUAGUAUUUGGGAAGGUAAUGGAAAAUUACAGUCAAAGGGCGGGCAGGAGUGGGGGGUCGCAAGGUGCUCAGUGGGGGUGCUUCUGAGCCAGGAGAAGGAAAUUUGCAGGGUUAAUCACUCAGUUAAGGUGGGGCAGGAACAAAUCACAAUGGUGGAAUGUCAUCAGUUAAGGCGGGGCAGGGCCUUUUCACUUCUUUUGUGAUUCUUCAGUUACUUCAGGCCAUCUGGGUGUAUAUGUGCAAGGCACAGGGGAUGCGAUGGCUUGGCUUGGGCUCAGAGGCCUGACAGUGGCACACGCCUGUAAUCCCAGCUACUUGGGAGCCUGAGGCAGGAGAAUCACUUGAACCCAGGAGGUGCAGGGUGCAGUGAGCCGAGAUCGCCCCACUGCACUCCAGCCUGGGCAACAGAGACUCCAUCUCAAAAAAACAAAAAAAAAAGCACAGGUCCCCUCCCUCAGUCCUGCAGACUUCCUCAAGCUGGGAAGGACCAAGGAUUUUGGGAAAUAACUCCACCGGCUUACAGACAGUGCACCCCAGGACAAAGAGUCAUGGUGUAAAUUUUAAUUAUCCUUUGUAGAGGCUUCAAAAAAAAAAAAAUCUAGAGUGCAGAGGUUCAGUCUGGUCCACACAGUUCUGAAUGCCUUUUAAUUAUCAUCACACACACCAGAGAAGGUCAUCUUAGAAUAUUUAAUCAGUUAGCACUAGAUGAAGGCUGGAGUAGGAGAGACUGGGAUAGUGGGGGGCAAUGUGGGGAUGGAGGAGUCUGUGGUCAGAGGGAGAUGUAUUUUUCACAGAUCACGCAACACACAGGAAGA